UUCCUCCUCUGGAGGCCCCCAGAGCUUCAACUGUUUCAGCUCCCUGCAGGAAAUUCCUGAAGAGACUCUAAUUUUAAUAGCCAAAGAGAGGAGCCCAAAUGUCUACUUAGAAUGUAUCCAUUCCAGACAGAGACUGGCUGCUUCAAGAAAGAUCCCCUGCUCUGUGUGGCCUGGAGAUGUGACCUUUUUCUCCUUGAAUCAUUGAGCCCCCUUGGCCUUUGUUUUUCAUUUUCUGUGUACCAAUUUUUUUCAGACUAGUCAGUUAAAUAGGAUUGUGAGGUCAGAACCCAACCAAUGGGGAAAACACACAGCUAACACCUGAGUUAGAAUAAAAACCAAGCGUGCUUUUUGUCUAGGUAUGUUCCUUCUGAAGAUCAAACACACCCUCUUAAUAUUUGCCUGGAGAAGACACUUCGGCAGGAAUGGUAUCUGUUUCUAUGGAGAGCUCACUCUUUGCUCCUCUUUCCAAAGUUGCCACAUUGAGUAAAUCUUUCUGCUUUUCACUAUUUUUUUUUAAAGAUUUAUUUUAUUUCUUAUGUAUACAAAGUUCUGCCUGCAUCUGCACUUGCAGGCCAGAAGAGGGUACCAGAUAUCAUUAGAGAUGGUUGUGAGCCAUGUGGUUGCUGGGAAUUGAACUCAGGACCUUUGAAAGAACAACCAGUGCUCUGAACCACUGAGCCACCUCUCCGGCCCUGCUUUUCACUAUUAAUUUGGCUCUUUUAAUUGAUGUAUUGAUUAGGCAAAUCUGGCUUUGGGGGAGGCAGAGCCUUUGACCCUAAAUCUGGUAACAACCUCAAACAAACAUUUGCUUACUGAGCAACAUCUGUCAGUACUUUUGUAUAGAAAAUGAAAACAAACCAGCCAAAUGGCUCAGUUGGUGAAAAGGUACCUGCCACCAAGCAUGCUCACCUGAGUUUAAUUCAAGAGCUUGGCACUAUGGAACAUAAACACACACACAGUUAAUCCCACUGGGCAAGAAUAAAACCACUACCACAAUUUUUGAACAAGAUGUUCACUGUCCAGGAAGCUGGACACUGACCAGGUCCAUACCCAGGAUUUCCAGAGAAUGACCACUGAACUGAGUUGGCCAGGUGUUUCUGGUUGAAGUGUCUCAUCUGCUGAGAGGCAAGAAUUCCAACACACUUAAUAACAUAUGCAGUGAAGCCUGCCUACUGUGAUGGCUAAUCUUGGUUGUCAACUUGACUAUGUCUGGAACUAACUAAAACCCAAAAACCUAUGAGGGAUUUUCUUGGUUGAACGACUUGAGAUGGGAAAAGCCCUGAUAUACCAAUGGAAUUUUCCUGGUAACUGGAACCAGAUAUAUGCCUAUAAUCCACUCAAGACCCUAAGGAAGAAAGGGUGGAAAUAUGAGGCCAUGCUGGACUACUCAGCAAGACCCUCUAACAAACAAAGAGACAAACGUGACUUCUCUGCCACAUAAAAGAUCAUGCUUUCUAAGUCAAUCCCAUUCGGGUUGAAAUCUCUGCUUUGCUGAUUAAUAACUGGCUGUCAGUCAAGCCAUUUAACCUACUAACCUCAUUUUCUUCAGAAAAAUUAUAAUCUAUAAAGAGGAUGGUUAUAAAUAUUAUUUCAUGAUGUAAUAUUUCAUCACGUUAGAACCUCUGUGAUCUUAAAAACUGGUUUCUAACACAAUCUUUAUAAUUACCAUUCGAGUGAGACUAUACACGUGUAUGAACUGCCACUCUCACAGCCACCACAGUCACCAAAUACUCCGCAUUGUACUCCUGCACCCAAGCAUAGCCUCAGGACACCUCCCAGCUCAUGACCCUGGGGAGUCAACCCCAGGGGAUGAAAACACUCUCCAGAGGCAAUCCCUGGAUCGGGGGCUAGGUCAUUACUUUCAAUUUUCUUUUCUAGGAACAAACCAAAAAAUCAGAUGUUAAAUAUAAGGUCCUACUUUAAUUAAGUAGAUGAGAGACAGAAAGCCCCUUGUUUUACUUUUCCCCUGCUCAAACUCAUUUUUGAAUUUCAGUUCAUUUGAAGGACAGUGUUAUUGACUAUAAUGAAAGCAUAGUAGACAUUUUUCAACCUCUUUUAAUUGUGUGAUUCUCUUUUUUUUCUUUGCCGUUUUAAUUUUGUGGCGGGCAACGCGAGUGUUUUGUAAUGAAAUACUGCAGGCAUGGCACUGCUGAUCAAAGUGAAACAUGAAACGCUUGACUCUUCUUAACCAAGGAGAUAAUAAAAUCCCUGUUGAUAAUCUACUUACAUGACAUAAAAUAAAAAUCUUAGGGAUAGUGGUCAGUGGUCUUCUAUUUCUUUUUUUUUUUUUUUCAUUUACUAGCUUUAUUCACAUCCUUACUACAUCCUUAUAGCCCCUUUCCUCCUCCCCUCCCAGUCCUACCCUCUCUUCCACCCCCCUCCCUUUUUCCUCAGAAAAGGGCAGUUCCCUUUCCCCACCAUCCACCCCAGCUCAUCUGGUUGCAUCAGGACUGAGCUUGUCCUCUUCCCCUGUGGCCUGGCAAGGCAGUCCCACUAGGGGAAGUGAUCUAAAAGCUGGCAAGCAAGUCCUUUUCUGCUGCAGUCCCCACUUCCCUUACUAGAGGACCCACAAGAAGCCUAAGCUGCCCAUCUGCUACAUCUUUGUUAGGGGGCCUAGGUCCAAUGCAUGGUUGAUGCUUCAGUCUCACCAAACCCUCUGGGCCCUGGUUAGUUGGCUCUGUUGUUUUUCUUGUGAAGCUCCUGUCACUUCUGGGUCCUUUUCUCUUUCCUCCCACUAUUCCCCAAGACUCCCUGCGCAUCACCCAAAGGAUGGCUGUGAGUCUCAGCAUCUGUUUUGAGAUGUGACUGCAUGGAGCCUCUCAGGGACCGACUCUGACAGGCUCCUGUCUGCAAGCUUAGCAGAGUAUCAUAGUGUCAGGGGUUGGCGCUCUCAAUAGGAUGGGUCUUUGGUUGGGCCAGGCUUCUUCUAUUUCUUAUCAAUUAGGGUUACACUACAUUAAAAUUUCUGCCGUAUUAUUAUUAAAUCUGCUAAAUCAAAUGUUAAAAAAAAACAAAAAUGUAAUAAAAUAAAUGGAAUGUAAAUCUAA